GUGAUAACAACGUUAUUUAGUUAUUUAUAAAGACAGAAAGGUGGCGCGGAGUGUCUCUGUGAGGUGUCUACAGUCAAACUGUCCUUUUGCAGAGGGAGCCCCGCUCUCUGUCCAGUGUGUGUGUGUGUGUGUGUGUGUGUGUGUGUGUGCAUUUUCUUAUUCAUUGGUGCAUCGGUAUAUUACGUAACCACUGUACCCACACAUGGCAUGUAAAUCAGCGUGACGUCAUAAACAGCAGCUUUCCCAUGUCGUAUUUGAUACACGAGUAUCACACACACACACACACACACACACACACAUUCACCAUGACGCAACAAGCACACAGACCCACACACACACAGACACACACACACACACACAGACAGCGAGUGUGUGUAGGAGAUUAUAAAGUUAAGUUUCAACGCCACAAAAAAACCCCCACUAAUCCUCUGAACGGUUGGAUAAGACAGUCGCAGAUGACAGAUGUGCGUGUGUGUGUGUGUGUGUGUGUGUGUGUGUGUGUGUGUGAGAGAGAGAGAGAGUGAGAGAGGGCAUCCAUCCUAUGAGAAGUGUGCCAGUGUGAGCGUGUGAGGCGGAACAUGUGUGUCGCAAAUGUCUCUAAAGCUGCUGUUCUCUGAUUGGCUGCUGCCCACAUACACUCAACGUGUACCCCACUGAGAUGUGUUCUGUGUGUGUGUGUGUGUGUGUGAGAGAGAGAGAGAGAGAAAGAGAGAGACAGAGGGAGAUAGAGAGGUUAUAAAGGGGGAAGAGAGAUGAAUGGUAUCAGGGAGCAGAGAAACACAGUUGAUCACGUCUGUAACCACUGGCAGCCUCACAGCAGCAGCAGCAGCAGCAGAGAGCCACAGCUGGUGUGAGGAGGACAACAGCUGAGCUAACUGACGGUAACCCCGACAACGGCAGCUCUGGCAACAGUCACCCUGUGGACGAUUCUUCCAAUCCUACACAGCCGACGGAUCCAGUUACCAUGGAGAUCAGCUCCUCACCACCACUAGCAGACCUGGAGAGAGACAACCUUUUCAACUUCCACAACCAGGAAGUGGAGGAACUCCAGUACCCAGAGUUCCACGGGUUGGAAGAAGAUGCAGAGGGAGAAGAUGGAAAAAGGGAAGGAGACGAGUGUGACUAUCUUGUUUUUGAGAUAGAAGAAAGAGGAGGUGAAAGUGAAGAGGGACAAGACGCAGCGAGAGGAGAAAAGGAGGGAGGAAGAGGAGAAAUUGAGGGAGAGGAUGAACUGAGAGGAGAGAUAGAAGGAGAAGAAGGGAGAGGAGAAACAGAGGGGGAAGUUGAAGAAAGUGGAGAAAUCGAAUUUGAAGACAAAGAUAGGGGAGAAGUCAAGGGAGACGAUGGAAGUAAGGUAGAAACCGAGAGCAAAGAUUGUGGGAGCAGAGAGAUAGAGGGAGAAGAUGAAGGAAGUGGAGAAGCAGAGGGAGCGGGAAAAGAAGAUGCUCUGUCGGAGCUUCUCUUCUUCUCCGACAGUCCACUGUGCCCCCCGUCCUCCUCCGAACACCCGACUGUCACCUCAGAGCAGCCAGCGGAGUCGGCCCUGUUGCAGGAUGCCUGGGUUCACGACCUGGGCGACAGGGAUGACCUCAGCGACGGUCACCUGAGCGACUGUCUCCAGGCAGAGUUGGCCGUCGUGUACUCGGACAGUGACGCCGGAGACGACCAGUGGGCGUCCUUCACGGCCACGGAGGUCAGCCAGCAGGAGCAAACGUGCGAUGGAGAGAGCAAGCAAGAGGAGAGAAGAGAGGGGGAAACAGAGGAGGAGAGGAGGGGAGGCAGGGAUGAUGAUGAUGGUGAUGAUCAGCAGCAGACGAUGAGGAGAGAGCUUUUCUUGCAGUCUCCUUCUGCCAGCUCCACAGCCAGCUCCUCGGACCCUGACAAGAGGGCUCCUGCGGAUUUCUGCGUGCACCAGGAGACGCUCAGUGCCAACGUCUCCACCGAGCAUGUCGACUUUCUGCUGGCCCGCCGGCAGUGGAAGAAGAUGGAGGAGGAUGUCAAAGGUCAGCCCAUCCCCAAACCGGGGCUCAGGGCUCAGGGGAGCUUCCAGGGCACCCACACGUCACUGUACCCCCCAACGCGCAGCCCCCGACUCAAACACAGGGAUAUCCAUCCACCAAUGCCCCGGGAGCCGCCGCUGUCCUCCACUCUGUCCCCCAGUUCAGAGGACUCGGGCCUGGAUGACCCGUCGUACCGCAGCCCCCUGGAGGAGCCCGAGAGCGCCGUGGAGAGAGAGAUACGACUGACUCUGGAGAGAGAAGAGAGGCACCGCAGGGAGAGGGGGAGGAUUGCACAGGGUCUGACUGUACCCAGACCAUCCAGCCUGCAGACAGGACGCUCUCCACCCCGACCUCCUGCCUGCCGCACCCCCACUCUGUCCGUCUCUCCUUCCCCUCCCUGCUCCUCUACCCUCCCCCGAUCCGUCUACCAUGAAAUGACCGCCAACAACGUCAUCAUCCUGGAGCCCGACUCCUCCAGCUCCGCCUCCAGGAGCCGCCUACUCUCCUCCGCAAUCGGGGGGUCUCUCCGAUUGGCCGAUGAGCCUGGACGCGGUGCCCUCGGCCAACGUCAUCGUCGUGGAAACCUCCAACUUGAUCAUUCGCAGCGCCUCCGAGUUCUGCCUGAGCGCCGCCGUCGCCGCCGCCCCGGUCACGCUGGAGACGCAGGAGAGCACUUUCUCUCGUCCAAUCCGUUCUUCAAGCUGCGCUCGCUCAGCAGCCAGUCGCUUGUGGAACGGGAGAUCAGGAUGGUGAAGCAGAGGGAGGAGGAGUGGAGGAGGCAGAGGGAGGAGAUGUGGAGGAGGAGGAGAGAGGAGGAGUGGAGGAGAGGGAGGGAGAGGUACGAAACUGUGCUGGUGUCUCCAGGCCUGAAUGAUAACAUCAGCUUCAAUGUGCCAGAGGUUCCAGACAGAUGUGUCUCCUCCCCUUCAUCCCCGUCCAGAAUCCGCAAAAUGGAACGAUCCAGUUUGUCUUGUGACCAUAAGUUCCCCGCUUUCCUCUCUUCAGUGCCUCAACGACAGAACGCCAUGGCACAGAGAUGGGAGGCCUCCCUUUUAGCCAAUCAGAAGAAGGAGUGA
ensembl:lncRNA